rnacentral:rRNA from 1 species
UACGUAGGGACCAAGCGUUGUUCGGAUUUACUGGGCGUAAAGGGCGCGUAGGCGGCGCGGUAAGUCACUUGUGAAAUCUCUGAGCUUAACUCAGAACGGCCAAGUGAUACUGCAGUGCUAGAGUGUGGAAGGGGCAAUCGGAAUUCUUGGUGUAGCGGUGAAAUGCGUAGAUAUCAAGAGGAACACCUGAGGUGAAGACGGGUUGCUGGGCCAGCACUGACACUGAGGCACGAAAGCGUGGGGAGCAAACAGG